AUCCCAAAGGGUGCUUUUAUAAUGCAUCCUCUAAAACGUACGCGAAUCCUAGUCCAAUUAGGAUUCCUACUCCAAUUAACAUUUAAAUCUAUAUUUCAUUUAUCUCCAAUAGAUUUAAAUAUUUAUCCUAGUUUAGUUAGAUUCAUACUGUAACUAAUAUUUAAAUCUUAAUUUAUCUUCAACAGAUUUAAAUAUUAAUUCUUAUCCAAUAGGAUUCAACUACAAAUUUAACCAAAUCCUAACAGGGUUCCCAUAAAUACACAUAUUAAACUAGUGAACAAAAAGAAAC
rnacentral:lncRNA from 1 species